AGGCACGGGUCCAUCCCCAAAGGCUGCGCCGGUUCCCUUCUGUCCCUCCACGAGGCACAGGUCCAUCCCCAAAGGCACUGCUUCUCAACACCACCACGUCGGGAGUUAAGUUUCCACGUGAAUUUUGGAUGUGGCGCAUUCAAACCGCAGCAGCCACCAUCACCACAAGCCAGGUACCCGGGGUCUCCAUCGCCCCGAAGGCCCCCCGCCAGCAUGCUUCCGCCCUUCCCACACCCCCUUGUUCCAGGAAGCCGCUUUUCUGGUAACUCCAGCGAUCUGUCAUCACGGAAUCAGCCCCAGAACACCUGAACGAUGCCACCCGUAUCAUCCAUCUGCCUCACCAAAGAAAAACGUCUCUGGAAGAUGACUCCGCUCAGUUUUUCUUGCAGGCUGAGAAGCCCCGCAGAAAGAAACAGGCCUGAGUCCCUGGAAGCUUCUCAUCAGGAUGUGAACCGACUGGAAAAAGGACGUUUGCAGAUGUGACCAAAUUAAGACUCUUGGGAUGGUGGGAGAGUGUUCUGGAUUAUCCUGGUGGGCUCUAAGUGCCACCGUGAGUGAGUAUCCGUAGAGGAGGGAGGCAGAGGAGUUUCCACACAGAGAGGUCACGUGGGGAUGGAGGAAGGGAGCUUUCCAGAUGUGACCAUGUGUACUGGGCAAUACAACCGCAGGCCAAGGAUUGUAAGCACAGCCAGAGCCUGGAGGAGGCAGGAGGGGCCCUCCCCAGAAGCCUUCAGAGGGAGGCCCGACCACACCUUGGGUUUGGACUUCUGGCCUCUAGAACCACGAGAUGAGAAGUUUCUGUUGGAAGCCCCCAGUUUCCCGUAAUUUGUAACAGUGGAAGUAGGAAACCAUUGUGUUCUCGUCUUUAAAUUAUUACCCCUUUCGAAUUCUUGGAAUCUCAGCAGAAUCAGGGCCAAGUGGGGCUUCUACUCUUCUUGACUAUCCUUGAAUAACCCUGUUGAGUUUCGUUGGAAAAAACAAAUGCAGUUGUACAAAAUUUGCAAAUUAAUUAAGGGAUAUUCUUACUACUUCUUAAAUGAAGUGAAUAUUUUCUGCAUUCGUUUUUAAGCUCGUUCUUUGCUGGGGUGUUGAGGCCCGGGUGUGCAUGCGUUAUCAUGCCCUUCCUGGGCACUGAAGACCAAGGCACACAGGCGGCAACACCAAGGUCCAGAGAGGUGAGAAACGUUCCCACGUUCACAAUGACAAAAAGCCAUGGGACUAAGCAUCAAAUCUCGUCACCCAGUUCCAGGCCACAUUGUUCUCUGGAAGUGCACAGUGUAAUCCUACAGUAAUGAAAACAGUUGGAAAUAGUAACCUCGUCCAACCUAAGAGCCUAACAGCAUUUUGUGGCUUUAUUGGAAGGGUCAAGACUCUUGGGCAACAAGAUCUCAAGGAACCCCAGGCAUCGUUGCUCCACAGUCACACGCCAGUCUCCAUCUUUGGCCAGGGAAACGGGUGCUUCCGUGGAGGAAGGACCCCAGACCCCUGCUGGUGAGUGCCUGAGUGUGCCUGAGACGGCAGAGGUAAACCCCUGGGCGUCACAUCCCAGCAAAGCCUUCUCCAGCAGAACGUGGACGGCCCUGCUCAGCAUCCCUCAGCAUGAGUGGCCCUCCAGAACAUCACAGCCUCUGCGGUGCCAGCAGCCUGUCAAGGAGUGCUUCCGUGUGGCCGCGGACCCCUGAAGUGCAGGCCCAGCCUUCCCAUUUGGGUCUGGUCCAGAGCCUGGUGCUGUUCUCCACAUGCUGUUGGGGUGGGGGGCACUGCCCAAGUCCGGUGACUUUUCUAGUGUCAUUUAGAUGAGCUUUUUAAAGGAUCUUUUUUAACAUGUAAGAUCAUUAGGCACACAGUGUGAAAUGAAGCCGUGGAGCCCUGGCGUCUGCACUGUGAGCCCCUCCUGGUGGUUCCAGUCACUGGAAGGCCGAUCUCCACAUGGUGGCCCUGCCUGCUGCCUCCCCCAGGCCAGCAUGCCCCACUGCCACCAGACCGUGGCCUUGAUCUGGCGGCUGCACCGGCCUCCUGGUCCUCGUGGCCCUCCCAGCCUCUCACCCUCCCCGAGGCGGAGCUUCCUGCCUGCGACUCAUGCUGCUGCUUCCCGUGUCGCCCUCACCUAAGAUAAGUCCCGUGUCCCUUGCCCAACAGGUGGUAACUUUAUUUCCAUCCAACUCCAUUCCUCAGCACCCCCCAGAGCAAUCCGGCCUCCCUGUGCCCACGCAGGCUCCUUCCCCCGUCUCUCUGUUGCCCACGGCCAAAUCCCCCAAAGCUCAGGGCAGCCCCACGUUAAGCGCAGGCCAUCCUGGCGCCACAGAUUUUCCCGUAAUUGCCGUUCCACACCUGGUGAGUCCCGGAGGCUUUGGCACCACGGACUUUCUCGGAAUUGCCGUUCCAUGCCCGGUGAGUCCCGGAGGCUCUGGAACACGGUUCCUAACACGCGCAGGCUGAUUUCUAACGCUCACGCGCGUGGUAUUGCUUUCUCCCCAGAGAGGAUCUGAGCCUUUGGGGGCCGGGGACUAAAUUUUGCUGCAGCUUCUUCUUUAGUCGGAUGAGGGUGGGAGAGCCUUCCCGGCCCAUCCUCAAGCCCCACGGAUCCGGCCCGGUGCUCCUGGCGGCCUCUUCACCCCAGGCUCUCGGGAGCCGCCCUGCUCUGCAGUUCUCUGUUAACACCUUUCCACUUCGGAGGAGCUUCGCGCGGAGAAUACAGCGAUUUUCUGACCUAAUCGCACCCCGCUCUGCGGCCGCCUUCGCUCCAGUUACUUUCGGACUCGGGCCCGGGCUCAGCUCCCCGGAGGCACCGCAGGCAGCGCGGGACCCCGAGCUCACACGCGGGCAUCGCCGGCCUCACAACGCAGCCCCUCUUCAGGACGUUCUGCCUCCCCCCACCUGGCCGGGACCCUCAGGCCCAGCCCUGGGGAUGCCUCCCCGACGGCUCCUGUGGCUCCGUGCCCCUCGCGCCCCUGGCUCACCUGGAGUUGUCCCCGCCCUGUUCCCUGCUACCUACAAGGGAAAGAUUGAAAAGAGUCGCAGUGAGGCCACGCGGAUUUCCACCCUGUACAACAAACAGCAGCGUCUGCAGAGAAACACACGGUCAGCCUUGAGCCAGUUGGAUCGUGUCAUUCAGAAACUUAACCAGGAUGUACAGGCGUUUCAUUCUUCUUCGCGGGCACUCCUAAGAGAUUAUCAGGAUGAGUAUCAGGACCGUGUUUCUGAAAUAGUGACUGUGGUGCAAAGAACACAGCAGAGUGCCGAGACCCUGCUAGCGUGCCAGGCAAAGGUGGUGCACCUGGAGCAGGCCUUGCAGGACGUCAGUGCCCGUCACCAGCUGGAGAGGCAGAGAAGGAAGGUCCUGCACAACAGCCUGGUGGAGCUGAAAGGAAAUAUCAGAGUUCACUGUCGGAUUCGUCCUUUGUUGCCUUUUGAUAGUGAAUCCGAUGAUCCAGUCUUGCAGAGCAGCUCCAUCUCUAGAGAAGUGGCCCAUGCUGUUGAUGACGAAACAGUUCUGGUGAAAUGUGAUCGUCCUGGCCACCCUCUGAUUAAUAAGACGUAUCAUUUUGAAAGGGUUUAUGGUCCAGCAGAGUCUCAGAGUGCGGUCUUUGGAGAUGUGUGCCCCCUACUCACGUCUCUCUUGGACGGGUACAAUGUUUGUGUUAUGGCGUAUGGACAGACGGGCAGCGGGAAGAGCUAUACCAUGUUGGGACCCCAUUCGGACGACGGCCCUGUGCUGCCGCUUGACCCACAGAGUGACUUAGGAAUUAUCCCUAGAGCAACUGAGGAGCUCUUCAGGCUCAUUUCGGAAAAUCCCUCAAGAAGCCCAAAGGUUGAAGUCUCCAUAGUGGAGGUUUACAAUAAUGACAUUUUUGACCUUCUGGCCAAAGACACUGUUGCAGCAGUGUCGGGGGUCAAGCGUGAGGUGAUGACAGCCAAGGAUGGACGAACAGAGGUUGCGCUGCUGGCCUCUGAGGCUGUCAACAGCGCCUCAAAACUGAUGGAGCUCGUUCGUGGAGGUCUGCAGCUCAGAGCAAAGCACCCCACCCUAGUGCAUGCGGAUUCCUCCAGGUCCCACCUGAUAAUUACGGUGACUCUGACAACAGCCGCCUGCUCUGAUAGUACUGCAGACCAAGCCUGCAGUGCUACCCUCCCCAGGGAACAAACAGAGGCAGGAAGGGCAGGAAGGAGCCGCAGAACUUCUCAAGGGGCCUCAGCUCUACAGCCAGUUCCCGGGGACCCCGCAGGGCGUGCGGAGCAUGUGCAGGCCCGGCUGCAGCUGGUGGACUUGGCGGGCAGCGAGUGCAUUGGUGUGUCCGGGGUGACCGGGUCGGCCCUGAGGGAGACAGCGUGCAUCAACCGCAGCCUUGCGGCCCUGGCAGACGUCCUGGGGGCUUUGUCGGAGCACCGCGGCCACGUCCCAUACCGGAAUAGCAAGCUCACCCACCUCCUUCAGGACUGCCUCGCACCCUCAUGAAUGUGGAUGGGACCUCCAACUCCUGCCAGACCAUCAGGCGGAACAGGCUUCACAGAGGAGCUCCUUGCAGAGCGGCGGCCACCAGGUGUCACAGCAGGCACUCGCUGUCCUCAUCAGACUCUCCCCAGAGGCCACGCUGGGCCCCAAGGCCCUGCCCCGGGAAACUGGGGAGCCAGCAGGAACGGCCGUGGGCAGGAGGGCAGGGGCAUCAGCGCCCCACAGUGGGAGCUCCUCCUUCCUGGUGGAGCUGGUCAGCCUGGGCCCACUGCAGACCCCACCUGUGAGCUCUGGGGAGGCGUGCUGAGCACGUACGGCCCCAGAGCCACCAGGCCUCACACAGAGCUGCCACCUCUGCCUCCUGGAGUUUGUGCUUUUCCUUUCACCCCGAGCUCUCUCUUCACCACUGUUUUUGGUUGUCCACCACACUCCGCAUGAGGAGCUGUGUCAGGGAGGGAGGGGGCGUCUGGGGCCAGCCUCACACCUGUCCUCUGAUUUGACACAAAUGCGGCCCCCAGGAUUCCCCACUGCAGACCCCUGGACCAGAUGGACUCUGGUUUCCAUGGUGCUCUGCCACCUUCCAGCUCUGCAUCCCUGAAUGGCUUGCUUGGCCUCUAAAGCCCGGCUUCCUCCUCUGCAAAGCCAGGUCUCCUCUCUGCCUCACAAGGGGAUGGAUGGUGAAGACAGCUGCCCGUCACAUCCUCUGCUGGAAGGAUGGCUGCUGGGGCGGCCCCCAGUUCCACUGGGCCCACAGUGACAGAUGUGCCCUCUCGGACCCAGCAGGGUUGGCCCUUAGGCAGGCAGAUGCCCCUGGCUCAGGAAGCCCCUCGCCGGCUUGCUGAGGCGCGAAGUUCCUUUAGUAGGACAGAGACAUCGAUGCCCAAAUGACAGACACAGGAGGCGGCAGCCCCGUGAGACGGAAGCUUCUCUGUGGAGCCUGCACUGAACAGCAGCACCGAGCAACAGCCGCCGCCAGGCCCUGCCGUCCUCCUUGUGACCUUGAAGGGCCGGAGCUGCUGCCAUAGCGUGACCUAAGGGGCAGCCUGGCUGAGCCACGUGACACUCGACAAGCCUUCUUUGUGUGUUUGAUGAAGUUCCUCUCUGCACAAGGCCGGCAUUUCGAUCACCAAGCUGCCUUUGUAGAGUUUGCAUGGACGCUUCGCCCACAGCCACGUGGGGCCCACAGCGGUGCCCCUGAGAUGGGCAUCAUGUGAAAAUGGCAGAGCUUCCCUCUGGGGAAGUGUUGAACAGGCUCUGGCCAGCCUCUACGCGGGAUGGCAGAGGCGUGAGUGACUCAGGAACCUGCCAGUCACAGCCUAGAGCAAGGGCGUCUACAGAGGCUGGGAGUCGGGGCAGUGGGCAUGGCGGACGCUUGGGCCCCAGGCACUGGACCCCACUGCCUGCCACCCUCGACAUCACCACGCUGCAGACUGGGCCCCUCUGUGCCAUCACGGGGCGUGCAGCUGAGUCCUCGCUUCCCAGGUUUUCGUCCACCUCUCACUCCAACUCCUCAUUUCCUAGAAGGAAGCCUGGGUCCAGUCUUCACCCUGGUCUACUUGGCCACACCCAGAGUGCCAGGGUUUCAGAGCAAACCAGCCCAGUCUCCAGGGUGUGGAGCUGCAGGCACUCACCCCACCGCUGGCCACCACUAGUGAUUUCAAUGGCCCGUCACCAUGGUGCUGAUGCGCUGCCCCUGAGAAGGGAGAGGGAGGGAAAGACCCAGGAAACAUACUCAAAAAACCUAAAAACUAGUCAGUGACUAAAACUCAGACGUCCUGUUAAUUAACGGCUCUGCUCUGGGGUUACUAUCUUCAUGUUCAUUAGCUUUUUCCUCUUGGCUCCGGGCCUUUGAAGGUGUUCAGGAUCAACCCAUUUGAAAAGCAAGGACGCUGAGGCUGUGGAAGCUCGAGAACUUCCUGACUUGCAGUGCCUGUGAGUGGGCAGGAAGGAGCGUCUGCCCCUCCGUCGUGGUACGGCUCCUUCUCUCACAGAAGUGGACAGUCCCAGCGCCACGGAGAAAUGCAUCUCCAAAAACACUCGUAGCUUCUGCAAACUGCACACAACCAGACCUCCUCAGCGCUGACCUAGGGCACAGUUGUUCAUGCACGAGAGCCACCUUACGGGGUGAGCCCGUGACUCUGACGUGAGGUUUGUGUUCCCAGGGCUGACGUGUCUGGGCGCUUCACAGCUGGACGAGGCAUGCUUGGAGGGGCGCCUUGAACCUGGACAGCACCCCCUCCUUGCCUCCCUCAGGCCCUUUGGCCACAGAACCUGUGACAUGGGCAGGCUCAGGAGAGGAGAGGAGGAAGGGAAGGAACCCAGGCUCCAAGGAGGUAAGAUUGCAGGGGGCGGAGGCGGGGGCCCAUGCGGUUUCGUCCGGAGGACAUUGCAACGCUGGAAUAAAACACCCUGCCCUCUUCAGCUUGUAGCAGGUUAGAGGCCACUGGUUUUGAAGAGAUUUGCCAGUGACCUGUGGGAGGAAACACUCAGCAGAGGUUGAGGCAGCGCGUGGAGGCCGUGCGGGGAAUACAGCCCAAAUGGGGAGGACAGAAGGCAUCACAGCCACCCAGGGUGUAGGAGCUGCGACAGGUGCCUGUUAGAGCGGAACGACAGGGGCCCGGCCCCGUUUCGGGGUCCGGCGGGGGCUUCCCUGCAGGGGCAGCCUCUGUGCAGAGGCCUGAAGGGUCCACAGUGGCAAAGGGGGAAUGACAAAGUGUCUGGCCAUGCGGGACCAUGUGUUCUGUACUAUAAUCACCCUGUGAGGGGCGCACGCCGCGCCGUCCUAGAGCAUCCCAGACACCAGCCCCCGGCCUGCUGGUACUCGCUGGAGGACCCUGCAUGCCGAGGGUCCCGCCCUGGCCGUCGUUUAGUGUGAGGCAGGAGGGGGCCAGAUAUGGUGGGGACACCCAGCUGCCCCAGAUCUCUCUUGCCUGCCCUUUCCUCCGCAGGCUCCCUGUGCCCCCCUGUAGCCAGGAAUAGGCCCUGGGGGUGGUGGGGGUGGCUGCACAGUGCGGCUUGUGGCCCUGGAUGCUCCCUUAGGACUGUCUGGGACCAGGCUCAUCUUGGAAUCCGAAUUAACUACAGACCUCACUUCGGGAACAGCCUGGCCCAGCCCUCAUACUCGGGGAAAGAGCGGUGGUCGGAGGAGGCAGGAGUAGCGCACAGAGGGCAAGUCGGGGGCCCACGUGUGGCCGGGGCAGCUGUGGCCUCCUCAGCACAGUGUGAGCCCAGCAGACUUGCCGAGGUCUGGGAACUUGUAAUCCAGUUGCUGAAUUUGCUUGGUUAGCAGAAAUGGAAGACACCUCAUUUGUGGAGACCGAGGUGGUGGAAUGCUGACCCUGGAGGUGUUGCUGUGGGAGGCCAGCGAGCUGUUAUCCCAGUGGGCAGGACCUGGGUGACCGACACCCUGGGGGUCUCCUGACUCCCUGGACCUUCUCCCUUCUUAGUGGAGCUUGGCCAAAACCCACGGACAUUUUACAUCUGUUUCCCUAAAGUGCUAGGGACGCUCUGUAGUUGCAGCCACGCUCCUCGGGCAAGCCCCGGGAUGCAGGGGGGCCAGAACAAUGCAGGGUGGGGGGGCAGGUGGGUGUGGCCGGACUCUGGCUCAGCCUGGGUGGACAAGGAGGUGUAUACAGUUGGCACAGCCAGAGCAAGCUGGUGUCUCAACCCUUCACUCAUGGGGCCCAUCCCUUUGAUGGACUACCUGCUGUUCGUGACAUGACGUCGGGACUGGAUUCUGAGCUUUGUUGAUCUUUGUGUGUUCUGGAAGGCAGUCAGGAGGUGUUCGUGGAAUGUGGUUACUGAAAAACACAGGGUUUCUGUCGCAGGUGAGGUGGUGGAGGUGGCAGCCCAGCCCGGAAGACGGCCAGUCUACAUUUUCAGGCCGCAUGUGAAGGGCGGCUUUGAUCUGCACCAAGGACUGGAGCAGUGUCCUGGAGACACACGGGCAUCCUCAGAAGGGGCAGAAAUGGAACCACCUGAGCCAAGGGGAGGGUCUGGGCUAGCGACCUGGGGAAAAGUCCCAAGGGGUGGGUGACAUCUGCCUGAAACAUCAGAGAAGAGCAGGGGCUGGAGCAGGACCACAGCGGACAGAAGGAAGCACGCCUGCAGCUCCCCCGAGCAGACCAGAACUCGUUGUCACAACUCAGUAAUCCCCAAAACUCACAAAGCCCGCUUGCAUGUUUUGCCAACAUUUUUCACAUUGUGUUGAAAUCCUUUU